UCCCACUCAGUCCCUGUCCCCGUCAUCACCGCCACCGCACCCAACAAAACCUAAAAUGCUUCCUUUCGCCCCAAACCUAUCAUUUCCCCACUGCGCAAAUCCACUUCGCUUAAAUUCCUAUAGGAAAACGUGGAAGACGAAGAUGCAGAUGAAUGGAACUUUUCAAUGUUAUAAACUGUUUCAGGAGUAUAACGCUAAGGACAUGCAAAUGAAUUUGACGGGUUCAAUGUUUAAAUGCUAAGAUGAAUUUGAGGUUUUUGAUGUUAAAAUGUUCAGACGAAGCACGCCGCACUUGUUCUAAUUACUUUUGAGAGGAUACUUGGAGGCUAUGAUGUUGUUUUCAACUUUUAGAUCAGACAAGAGGUUGAAGAACCUGGCUACUGGCAUGGUGUUACAGUAUCUAUUUGAAAAUACCAUCGUGGUUCAUUCUACAGGUACUGAUUAUGCAGCCGUGGUCAGGCUCUUUUCUUCCACUUUUUGCUUGAGAUAAGGGGAAUCUGAGCCUUCCUCCGUAACCCUGCAAUUAUGGUUUACACACAUUGGUUGCUAGUUUAAUUAUGAGGCUCCACAUUCAGAGAUAAGGUUGUAUUGAGAGGCAUUGCCACUCCGAGUUGCUGUGCAAGCCGAUGAUCCUUCUCAGUGAAAUUUGCUAACAGCUCUGCACAUAUACAUACAUACACACACAUACUCUCUUUUCUAUUCCGAUUCUUCUCUCUUAGAUAACAAAGUAGUGAUGAUGAUUUCAGCAAUUGAAUCAGACGUUGUGCGAAGAGUUGUUUCCUGGCCAUGUGACUCUUUGUCUGUGUGAAAUUACCUUUGUGGUCAUUUGCACAGAUUCUGUUGAUGCAGCCUUUGCAAACAUCUUCUCUUUUGUGUCUGAGAAAAGGCGAAUCUGAGCCUCAUUUUGUUCAACCCUAACUCAUUUUUUUUUUUUUUGGGAUUUUCCCUUUUCUUUCCGUCUUUCAUUUGCUCUUUUGAAAUUUUGUUUGUUUCUAUUCUAUGUCAAAUUUAAUGUUGUAAGCAUGGUACUAUGGAACACAUCAACAUUUUCUGUGAAACAGAUAUCCACUCUACUUACUUGGUUUCAUGUGAAUUGACUUCCUAAAAAUUUUUCUUUGAAAAUAAUUUAUUGUACUCAAACUAUCAUUUCAUUCUUGAAUAUAGUUUUUUGUACUCCAUCCGUAGUGGAAAGAGAAGGACUCAGGGUACACCUUUCCUAAUGCUGCACUAAUUAUAGUAACCGUGUUUCACUUGACCCACCUCAUCAAUUUCUGUGCGAGGGAUUUCUAGACGCUCCUUGGUUUCAUACGAAGUGAAGUCCAAAAAGAAUUUCUAUGUUUAUAUUUUUAUAUCACUCUACUAUUGUUUCGUGCUAGAGAGGGGAUGACUCUAAGAAGGAAUGGUCGCUUAGUUCUUGAGAAAACUAUAAUUUUCUUUGAGCAUUGGAUAUCCAUGCAUUUUUUAUACAUUUGAAAUAGAGAACUAGAGGGCUUGGUAAUCCUAUUUCAAAUGAUGAAUAGGAGGUUUUCGAUGUUAAAAUGAUUUCAGGGGAAGCGUGCUACUCCUGUUCUAAUGAGUAAUAGCUUCUAAGACUGUUCCUUUGAGCAUUGAGGCUUUCACACCUUACCAGAACUUUAAGAAAGUUAAAAAAUGAGUAAAGGACUCAUGGAUCAUACUACGUAGCUAUUUGAUUUUAUAGCAAAAGACAAAUUAGCUCAUUGAGGAUUCUGUACGUACAUGGAAGCCAAUUUAACGUCAUAAUUGAUAUGGAUUGUUAAACUAUACCUUCGAGAUAUGUUCAAAUACUGGAGGAACUGUAUCCCAAUUUAAAGCUUAAAAUGGACCUAGAUUCUUCUAUUCUAUGCCACCAAUUUAUCUACUAUCUACUAUACAAACAAUUAAUAAGAGAAUGACCAAUCUGACUAAUAUGCCUUUUGCUAAAAAGUUCUUUACACAUAAAAAAGGGCAAUCUAUCUAUCUAUAAUAUAAGAAAAUUAAUGGUUCUGGAAAAGUCUAAAAUACCCUUAUUUGAGUUUUUGCCACCACAUUAAAAUUAUGGUUUUUUGGUCUUUGUACCAUCAAGUUCUUAAUUUUAUUAUUAAAAUAAUACAACACUUAUAUUUUAUCAAACUUAUCAAAUCUCUAAUUGUUCUUUAUUUUUUUUCUUUUUCAUCACUUUUUCACUUCUAUCUUCC